rnacentral:tRNA from 2 species
CGCGGGGUGGAGCAGCCUGGUAGCUCGUCGGGCUCAUAACCGAAGGUCGUCGGUUCAAAUCCGGCCCCCGCAACCA